UUCCUUUCUUCUUUUUCCUUAGUAGAAGUGUGGGGAUAUCUCUGCCCUUGUGAGUUACUUUCCCCCAUUUGCUACUUUCCUCGACAUUUUAUUAGGUUUUUGGCCUGCCUCCUCCUUCCCUUUCUCUGGGAACUUGAGUUCUCUCCCUCCUCUUCUCUUCUCUGCCAUGGCGAUUCUUCGAGAUUUUUUAUCCUGAUUCCAUCCUUCUCUUGAUCUCCUCCAAGCUCACAACAAUUACAACUGGAGAUUCUAGAUCCAAAACUAACUUAGGUUUUGUGUUUGCGGAACCAAGCUUCAACAAUCUUUAAUGGCGGGCUAUGAUUUUAAUGAGUUGGACUUGAGACGUUCAACAACUGGGGAAUUGCACUGCAACUCUGCAUAUUUCUCAUCUGUACAGUGAGAAAUACGAAACGGAAAAUUGUUCACCCCUUUAUGAGCACCUCAAUUAAUCCUUAAGGUGUUGUUGAUGAGGAAACAACUACAGUACGCUUCUCUAAUCCUCAAGGAUUUUCUUUUCGGGACAACAAUGUAAUCCUCAAAUAUUGUACCAAGGCUAUUGUUGUUAGUAAAUCAGUAUUCGCCCCCCGCCCCCAGCCCAGAGAAAAUCGAAUAUUUGUAUCUGGUCCUAAACUAAAGCAGAAAACAUCAAACAAGAACUGCAACUCCCAUGAAAUCAUCUUUGACAAGUAGUUUAAGUAACCUGCAAAAGGAAGCUUAGCUCGGCGGGCAUUUUCAUGGACUCCAUGUGGUGCUGCAGAUAAAGUUCCUCCAAAGGAGCCACACAGGAAGAGGAAAAGCUUUGUUUUAACACCAUUUGAGAAAGUUGCUUGGGAAGCAAUGACAGGAAUUCAAGAAGAUCAUGCUUCCUCAUUAUCUAUUGCUUUCAGGAUUGUGUGAAUUAGUGAUGUGAAAUUAGUGAUUGAUGAUAGAGAUCUAACAUUUUCACUCUACUGGAGCUUCAUUUUGUGUAAGAUAUACUCCGUAUACUUGUGUAUUUUAGUUUAAUCUCUUGCAACUUCUGGAGAGAUUUGUUCGAAUGGCCAUUUACUCAACAUGGAAUAUUAUGUGUGUGUUACAUUAUUGCAAAAUUUAAGUUUAGCUUGUUCACGGUUUGUAGUGAAA